UGCGCGUCGAGCGAAUGGAUUAAGAGCUUGCUCUUAUGAAGUUAGCGGCGGACGGGUGAGUAACACGUGGGUAACCUGCCCAUAAGACUGGGAUAACUCCGGGAAACCGGGGCUAAUACCGGAUAACAUUUUGAACCGCAUGGUUCGAAAUUGAAAGGCGGCUUCGGCUGUCACUUAUGGAUGGACCCGCGUCGCAUUAGCUAGUUGGUGAGGUAACGGCUCACCAAGGCAACGAUGCGUAGCCGACCUGAGAGGGUGAUCGGCCACACUGGGACUGAGACACGGCCCAGACUCAUACGGGAGGCAGCAGUAGGGAAUCUUCCGCAAUGGACGAAAGUCUGACGGAGCAACGCCGCGUGAGUGAUGAAGGCUUUCGGGUCGUAAAACUCUGUUGUUAGGAAAGAACAAGUGCUAGUUGAAUAAGCUGGCACCUUGACGGUACCUAACCAGAGAGCCACGGCUAACUACGUGCCAGCAGCCGCGGUAAUACGUAGGUGGCAAGCGUUAUCCGGAAUUAUUGCGCGUAAAGCGCGCGCAGGUGGUUUCUUAAGUCUGAUGUGAAAGCCCACGGCUCAACCGUGGAGGGUCAUUGGAAACUGAGAGACUUGAGUGCAGAAGAGGAAAGUGUAAUUCUAUGUGUAGCGGUGAAAUGCGUAGAGAUAUGGAGGAACACCAGUGGCGAAGGCUCACUUUCUUGUUCUGUAACUGACACUGAGGCGCGAAAGCGUGGGGCAGCAUACGAGGAUUAGAUACCCUGAUAGUCCCACGCCGUAAACGAUGAGUGCUAAGUGUUAGAGGGUUUCCCGCCCUGUUAGUGCUGAAGUUAACGCAUUAAGCACCUCCGCCUGGUGGAGCACGGGCCGCUAGGCAUAAAAAUCAAAAGAAAUUGGACGGCGGGCCCGCUACAAGCGGUGGAACUUUGUGGUUUAUAAUUUC
rnacentral:rRNA from 1 species